CCACCAACGCCCUCGGCUCGCAGCGGCAGGAGGUGGCCCUGGUGGUCCACGUUCCUCCCAGCAUCGAGCCUGGUCCUGCCCUGGUCGCUGCCACCGAGGGAGCGGCCGUCACCCUGCGGUGCGAUGCCACCGGCGUGCCCACCCCCACAGUUACCUGGACCAAGGGCACGGAGCCCAUCUCACCGAGCCCACGCUACCACCUCAACCCCAACGGGACCCUCCUGAUCCCGUCACCCUCCCCGGGGGAUGCCGGCACCUAUUUCUGCACGGCCGCCAGCGUGGCAGGCUUCUCCAGCCG
rnacentral:lncRNA from 1 species